AGAACUGUGCCCGAAUGCCCAAGGACCACUUUGAUAGAGUGAACUACAGGGGUUAAAUCCCCCUCAGUUCUU
rnacentral:tRNA from 2 species